AUGGGAAGAGCUCAGCACUUUAAAUACAAACAUUAGCAUUAUGCUGGCUUUCCAACAGGGGGAGAGUGAUGGAUAGAGAGAGAAAUGAAGUGAGGUGUCAGGCAGAUUGCAUGGGAUCGCCCGACCACGGAGGCUAUAAAAAGAAUGAAAUUUGCCAGAGGACCAGCUCUCCCUGAGGUAUCAACAUCCGCCGGCCUAAUCUCUGACCUCCAUCACUAUCACUCCCCGGUCUUUCCCUCUCCUUCGUCUGCCCGUACCUGCGGCAGCAGGGACGCGAUGUCAGCUCGAGUCCUCAGCGUAGACAAACCUUCCAACGAUAUUGUGACGUGACAAAUUAUCAAGCUGGCGUUGUGACGCCUCUGAUGGGGGGGGCAUCCUUGAGAUGACGAGCUGAGCGUGAGCAGACAGGCAAGGUCAAGAAGCGAAGCUGGUGCAAACUCGCAUUCAUGACUGAGCAUGCACCAGCGUGGCGAGGGAGAAAGGUUUUUCCUGAAGGCCCGUCAGCACAAAACAAGAAUUACAAGCUAAGAAAAGUGAUGCGAGGAGACGCUUAAUAUGAAAGAAAUACAUCUGCGAGAGUCAACCGUUUAUUUCUGUGCACAAAAGCAGAGGGAGUAUAAUCUGUAAUAAUCAUCAGUUUGGCCUUUUUAGUCUUCUUUACCUUCUAGCUUGCACUUCAUUAUGAACAUUCACACCGAGCUGCACAUUUCUCCCAGAUUUAUAAUGUCCGGUAACGCCGUUUCUUUCUUUCCCCCUGACGUCUCUUUUUAUGAAGAACUGCUCGGUCCACGGCAGUUUUUUCCCUGAGUGCGUUAGACUGGUCGGUGCUUUCCACAGUGAAGCUAUUUUCAUCUGUGAGAGCUGAACCCCAGCAGCAGCUUUCUGACAGCAGCUUGGACGCACCUGAAGUCUCGCUCCUACCCUUCCUGUUAUUCUUUCCUGUGCUGUACAGCUCUGUAGGUACAAGUGACACUGUGGGGAAAAGUCACUGCUGAGGGAUGAUGAAAAGACAUCUGCUGCAUGGUGUGGGCACUUUUUUGUGUAAACCAGCAGUUUUGUAUUUUUCUUUUGUUGCUCUUUUUGUAGUGGAGCAUUUUGAGGCUGAAGCUUAAAAAUGAAUAUAUACCUGUCUGUUUUUGUUAAAUAAAAAUUGAGCAAACGGUG